rnacentral:rRNA from 1 species
UGCGAGUGAAGCGGGAAAAGCUCAAAUUUAAAAUCUGGCAGUCUCUGGCUGUCCGAGUUGUAAUCUAGAGAAGUAAUGCCCGUGCUGGACCGUGUAUAAGUCUCCUGGGAUGGGGCGUCAUAGAGGGUGAGAAUCCCGUCUUUGACACGGACUACCAGUGCAUUGUGGUAUGCUCUCAAAGAGUCGAGUUGUUUGGGAAUGCAGCUCAAAAUGGGUGGUAAAUUCCAUCUAAAGCUAAAUAUUGGCGAGAGACCGAUAGCGAACAAGUACCGUGAGGGAAAGAUGAAAAGAACUUUGGAAAGAGAGUUAAACAGUACGUGAAAUUGCUGAAAGGGAAACGCUUGAAGUCAGUCGCGUUGGCCGGGAAUCAGCCUUGCUUUUGCUUGGUGUACUUUCUGGUUUGACGGGUCAGCAUCAAUUUUGACCGCUGGAAAAAGACCUGGGGAAUGUGGCAGCUUCGGCUGUGUUAUAGCCCCUAGUCGCAUACAGUGGUUGGGAUUGAGGAACUCAGCACGCCGCAAGGCCGGGUUUCGACCACGUUCGUGCUUAGGAUGCUGGCAUAAUGGCUUUAAGCGACCCGUCUUGAAACACGGACCAAGGAGUCUAACAUGCCUGCGAGUAUUUGGGUGGAAAACUCAAGUGCGUAAUGAAAGUGAAAGUUGAGAUCCCUGUCGUGGGGAGCAUCGACGCCCGGACCAGAACUUUUGGGACGGAUCCGCGGUGGAGCAUGUAUGUUGGGACCCGAAAGAUGGUGAACUAUGCCUGAAUAGGGUGAAGCCAGAGGAAACUCUGGUGGAGGC